rnacentral:rRNA from 1 species
CCUACGGGUGGCAGCAGUGAGGAAUAUUGGUCAAUGGACGAGAGUCUGAACCAGCCAAGUAGCGUGAAGGAUGACUGCCCUAUGGGUUGUAAACUUCUUUUAUAUGGGACUAAAAUGUUCCACGAGUGGGAUUUUGUAUGUACCAUAUGAAUAAGGAUCGGCUCACUCCGUGCCAGCAGCCGCGGUAAUACGGAGGAUCCGAGCGUUAUCCGGAUUUAUUGGGUUUAAAGGGAGCGUAGGUGGAUUGUUAAGUCAGUUGUGAAAGUUUGCGGCUCAACCGUAAAAUUGCAGUUGAAACUGGCAGUCUUGAGUACAGUAGAGGUGGGCGGAAUUCGUGGUGUAGCGGUGAAAUGCUUAGAUAUCACGAAGAACUCCGAUUGCGAAGGCAGUUCACUGGACUGCAACUGACACUGAGGCUCGAAAGUGUGGGUAUCAAACAGGAUUAGAUACCCCUGUAGUC